rnacentral:lncRNA from 1 species
AAAUGCUCUAUAUCCACACUAUCCAAUAUGGUAACCACUAGCCACUUGUGACUACUGAGUGUCUGAAAGGUUCUGCUUGAAUUCUUGCCCUGGCUCUUGGUGAAGGAUCGGCCUGCUGGAUCUGAGUCAUCCACCUAUAAGAGGGACAACACCACACAUUGGUCGCUGCUCUCAAGCCCCUGGAAUACCACCCCACUUGGCUUCUCCUGGUAACAGUGGCUGCCUUUGCUUGCCUGUCUCCAACUCCUCCCAAGAGCAUUGCUGACUAUACCACCCACAUAAACAAAAACUUUUUGGGAGUCCUCCAGAAUUUUUAAGAGUUAUCUAAACUAUUGCCUUUAAUGACCAGGAACUCCAAUUUGAGAAGUUACCCUACGUUAAGCCAACAGCAGCCUGGCUCCUUCAUCCUGUGCAGUAUGGGACAGAGCUGGGUCCUUGUUGUCAUCAGCCAGACAAGCACACAUUAAAGCCCACCUUAGCCAUUGGCAUUACAGCUUUAAAAGCAGCUCCAUCCUACCAUGCUGUCACUCUACUCAAUCACGUGAUCUUAACGACCAGCUCUACAUAUCCUCUCUCCAUGCCCCCACCACCAUCCCCCACCAAC